rnacentral:rRNA from 1 species
GACGAACCGCCCGAACGUUGUUCGGAAUCACUGGGCUUAAAGGGAGCGUAGGCGGGCUGCCAAGUCCGGGGUGAAAUCCUCCAGCUUAACUGGAGAACUGCCUCGGAUACUGGAAGUCUCGAGGAGGGUAGGGGCAAGUGGAACCGUGGGUGGAGCGGUGAAAUGCGUUGAUAUCCAUGGGAACUCCGGUGGCGAAGGCGACUUGCUGGACCCUUUCUGACGCCGAGGCUCGAAAGCCAGGGGAGCAAACGGG